rnacentral:rRNA from 1 species
AUUGAACGCUGGCGGCAUGCCUUACACAUGCAAGUCGAACGGUAACAGGUCUUCGGAUGCUGACGAGUGGCGAACGGGUGAGUAAUACAUCGGAACGUGCCCGAUCGUGGGGGAUAAUGCAGCGAAAGCUGUGCUAAUACCGCAUACGAUCUACGGAUGAAAGCGGGGGAUCGCAAGACCUCGCGCGGACGGAGCGGCCGAUGGCAGAUUAGGUAGUUGGUGGGAUAAAAGCUUACCAAGCCGACGAUCUGUAGCUGGUCUGAGAGGACGACCAGCCACACUGGGACUGAGACACGGCCCAGACUCCUACGGGAGGCAGCAGUGGGGAAUUUUGGACAAUGGGGGAAACCCUGAUCCAGCCAUGCCGCGUGCAGGAUGAAGGCCUUCGGGUUGUAAACUGCUUUUGUACGGAACGAAAAGGUCCUUUCUAAUAAAGAGGGCUCAUGACGGUACCGUAAGAAUAAGCACCGGCUAACUACGUG